AGUAAACAGACGGGGGGAUAUUUAAAGCACCAGUGGGGAAGGACACAGCUCUAGCUCCAUUCAAUGCAAAUUCGCUUCUCUCUGUCAAUGAGUCACUAUUGUCACCUUAAUUAACCAGGAGAGCUGAGAAAACACAGUGAUCGCUUUCUCGCUGCCAGUAAUUUAUAAGAUGUGACCUUUGUCCUUUGUUUAUGGGCAAUGUUUGACCUCGACAGACUGACUAAACAGAGUAAAUGAGUCAAAGGAGAUAUCCCAAUCAAAGAAGGCGGAGCUUCAGGACCACACCUACCUGUUACAUCAUCACUGUGGACAAAUGGUGGAUCAGGAGUGUUCUCCAGCUGAUAAGUCUGCACAGUUAUUUCAAUCUUCACUUAAUCCAAAAAUUAGUACCAACUUUGGUCAAUUAUUUGAUUUUAUUUCAAGUAUAUCAGUGCUUUAGUUCACCCAAAAAUGUAGUUGUGUCAAUAUUUACUGGUCCUUGUUUUAAACAUGAGUUUCUUUUUUUCUGGUGAGCAAAAAAGAAGAUAUUUUGAAAAAAGCUCUAAAUUGAUUUUUCAUAAUAUUUUCUUCCUACUAUGGAUUUCAAUGGCUACCAGUAUCCCAACAUUUUUCAAUAUAUCUUCUUUUGUGUUGAGUUAAAAAAACAAAACUGGUGAGUACAUUUAAAGUUUUUGAGGGAACUAUCCUUUUAAUGAUGUCACAUGGCACUUAUAGGUCCAACAUUUGACAUAUCAAAUGCUACAAGCAAACAUGAAAUGAUUGUGCUGUCAUGCUACCAAAAUAUAAGUUUAAAUCACUUCAAUAUGUGAUUGACAUGUUCGUUCAAUAUGUGGUCAUUAUGGCCUCACCCUGUACAUAGAGAAUGCAUGAUAGUCCAUUCAAAGGUAAAAGCAAAAAUGAAACAUGAAAAGCUAUUUAAGUAGCCUGAAUAUUGAUAGCAGCUCCCUGUUGUGUGUACUUUAUAUUCAAUAGGAUAACACUGAUAUGAUGUCAUUGAUGGUCAAUGCAAUUAUAUUGACCUUAUUGCUAGUCAAUAUUUUAACGUUCUUUCCAAAUUUAAGUAUUGUUGGAAACCUUAAGGAUAAUGAAAGUACCAAAAUCACAGUCACCAAAAUGUAUAACAUUGUGUUUUUACGACAUUAUAACAAUAAAUUUGAAUUCAUUUAUUUUUUUCUGUUGAAUACAAAAUAACAUAUUUUGAACACUUUUGGACACCAGUAGCCACUGACAUCCUUAGAAGGAAAAGUACUAUGGAAGUUCGUGGCUGUGGGUUUUCAAUACUCUUUGUGCUAUAUUUUUAACAAGUGAUUAGUUUACUACACGGGUGAGUAAAUCCUUGCUUUCAAGGUGAUAAGCUGACUUUAAUUUUAAAUAGGGUAAACGUUUUGUCUUAAGACUAUUGAGUUAAAACAAACUAUGGGGAUAAUUAUAAAAUUUCUCAAACAAAUAUUUUAACAAAUAUUUGCGCUUAACAAACGAAAUUAAUUAUUUAUAGACUAAUUGAUGUCUGUGCGUAAAGGUUUCCCUAUCCAAGAGCAAAAGUGAAAGUAGAUCGAUUAUCUCUCAUUCUUGCGCAGUAGAUGCUCUGUUUAACUGUUUUCUGUUAAAAAAAAAAAAAAAAC
ensembl:lincRNA si:dkeyp-73a2.2 si:dkeyp-73a2.2